GGGGAAUAUUGCACAAUGGGCGAAAGCCUGAUGCAGCGACGCCGCGUGAGUGAAGAAGUAUUUCGGUAUGUAAAGCUCUAUCAGCAGGGAAGAAAAUGACGGUACCUGACUAAGAAGCCCCGGCUAACUACGUGCCAGCAGCCGCGGUAAUACGUAGGGGGCAAGCGUUAUCCGGAUUUACUGGGUGUAAAGGGAGCGUAGACGGUAAAGCAAGUCUGAAGUGAAAGCCCGCGGCUCAACUGCGGGACUGCUUUGGAAACUGUUUAACUGGAGUGUCGGAGAGGUAAGUGGAAUUCCUAGUGUAGCGGUGAAAUGCGUAGAUAUUAGGAGGAACACCAGUGGCGAAGGCGACUUACUGGACGAUAACUGACGUUGAGGCUCGAAAGCGUGGGGAGCAAACA
rnacentral:rRNA from 1 species